rnacentral:rRNA from 1 species
GACGAACUGUCCAAACGUUGUUCGGAAUCACUGGGCUUAAAGGGCGCGUAGGCGGUCGGACAAGUCAGGGGUGAAAUCCUGCAGCUCAACUGUAGCAGUGCCUCUGAUACUGUCGGUCUCGAGGGAGAUAGGGGUGUGACGGAACUUCCAGUGGAGCGGUGAAAUGCGUUGAUAUUGGAAGGAACGCCGGUGGCGAAAGCGGCGCACUGGAUCUCUUCUGACGCUGAGGCGACGAAAGCUAGGGGAGCAAACGGG